rnacentral:tRNA from 50 species
CGCGGGGUGGAGCAGUUGGCAGCUCGUCGGGCUCAUAACCCGAAGGUCGUAGGUUCAAGUCCUGCCCCCGCAACCA